rnacentral:rRNA from 1 species
UACGGGGGGUGCAAGCGUUAUUCGGAAUCAUUGGGCGUAAAGCGCGCGUAGGCGGCCAGUUAAGUCAGAUGUGAAAUCCCGGGGCUUAACCCCGGAAGUGCAUUUGAAACUGGUUGGCUUGAGUAUGGGAGAGGGAAGUGGAAUUCCUGGUGUAGAGGUGAAAUUCGUAGAUAUCAGGAGGAACACCGGUGGCGAAGGCGACUUCCUGGACCAAUACUGACGCUGAGGCGCGAAGGCGUGGGUAGCAAACAGG